rnacentral:rRNA from 1 species
GUAGGGUGCGAGCGUUAAUCGGAAUUACUGGGCGUAAAGCGUGCGCAGGCGGUGAUGUAAGACAGGUGUGAAAUCCCCGGGCUUAACCUGGGAACUGCAUUUGUGACUGCAUUGCUGGAGUGCGGCAGAGGGGGAUGGAAUUCCGCGUGUAGCAGUGAAAUGCGUAGAUAUGCGGAGGAACACCGAUGGCGAAGGCAAUCCCCUGGGCCUGCACUGACGCUCAUGCACGAAAGCGUGGGGAGCAAACAGGAUUAGAUACCCUGGUAGUCCACGCCCUAAACGAUGUCAACUGGUUGUUGGUUCUUCACUGGAUCAGUAACGAAGCUAACGCGUGAAGUUGACCGCCUGGGGAGUACGGCCGCAAGGUUG